UUAAAUGAGAGUUUGAUCCUGGCUCAGGACGAACGCUGGCGGCGUGCCUAAUACAUGCAAGUGGGACGCAAGAGAACACACUGUGCUUG
rnacentral:rRNA from 1 species